GACGAACGCUGGCGGCGUGCUUAACACAUGCAAGUCGAACGGUGAACCUCUUCGGAGGGGAUCAGUGGCGAACGGGUGAGUAACACGUGGGCAACCUGCCCCCGGCUCUGGGAUAACUCCAAGAAAUUGGGGCUAAUACCGGAUGUUCACCGCUUCCCGCAUGGGUGGUGGUGGAAAGGGUUUCCGGCUGGGGAUGGGCCCGCGGCCUAUCAGCUUGUUGGUGGGGUAGUGGCCUACCAAGGCGACGACGGGUAGCCGGCCCGAGAGGGUGACCGGCCACACUGGGACUGAGACACGGCCCAGACUCCUACGGGAGGCAGCAGUGGGGAAUAUUGCGCAAUGGGCGGAAGCCUGACGCAGCGACGCCGCGUGGGGGAUGACGGCCUUCGGGUCGUAAACCUCUUUCAGCAGGGACGAAGCGCAAGUGACGGUACCUGCAGAAGAAGCACCGGCCAACUACGUG
rnacentral:rRNA from 1 species